rnacentral:tRNA from 1 species
GGCAAGAUGGCCGAGUGGUCUAAGGCGUUGGAUUUAGGCAGAGCUGUCGCUGCUUCAGUAGCAACAGUCGAGUUAUAAAUUCCUCCAAUCCGAAAGGGCGUGGGUUCGAAUCCCACUCUUGUCA